rnacentral:tRNA from 1 species
GGAGUUGUAGCUCAGAGGUAGAGCAUUUGCCUAGUAGUAUGUGUGAGGCACUGGGUUCAAUUCCCAGCACCA